UACGUAGGGGGCUAGCGUUGUCCGGAUUUAUUGGGCGCAAAGAGCGUGUAGGCGGCCAGGUAGGUCUGCUGUGAAAACUCGAGGCUCAACCUCGAGACGUCGGCGGAAACCAUCUGGCUAGAGUCCGGAAGAGGAGAGUGGAAUUCCUGGUGUAGCGGUGAAAUGCGCAGAUAUCAGGAAGAACACCCGUGGCGAAGGCGGCUCUCUGGGACGGUACUGACGCUGAGACGCGAAAGCGUGGGGAGCGAACAGG
rnacentral:rRNA from 1 species